CAUUCACUCACCUUAAGGAACUGUCGCCUCAGCUCCCAUCCUGUCCCAGCCAGAUCUGAGUCUGCAGUUUGUGGUGGAGGUGGACGCCUCUGAUUCUGGGGUGGGGGCUGUACUCUCUCAGCAAAAGAAUGACCGGGAUCUCACAAAGUCAAGCCAGACGCCUUGUCACACCAGUUUUUCAUCACCGACAACGAACAGGCCCAGCACCAGCACCAGUACUGCCUGUCUCUUGCUUAAUCGGAGCCGUCACCUGGGAAAUAGAAUCGAGAAGCCCAGCAAACCAACUUGGACCCUGGAAAUGGUCGGCUUUUCAGUCCUGUCUCCAUCCGGUCUCAGAUGACCACCUGUUCAACCUGUGCCCAGAAUAAGCCAUCAAAUCAUCUUGCGGGAUUACUGCAACCUCUGUCAACGCCUCCCCGGCCCUGGUCACACAUUGCCCUGGAUUUUGU